AUUGAACGCUGGUGGCAGGCCUAACACAUGCAAGUCGAGCGAGCGGCGGACGGGUGAGUAAUGUCUGGGAAACUGCCUGCUGGAGGGGGAUAACUAAUGGAAACGGUAGCUAAUACCGCAUACCAUCAGAUGUGCCCAGAUGGGAUUAGCUAGUAGGUGGGGUAACGGAUCACCUAGGCGACGAUCCCUAGCUGGUCUGAGAGGAUGACCAGCCACACUGGAUCUGAGACACGGUCCAGACUCCUACGGGAUGCAGCGGUGGGAAAUAUGGCACACUGGGGGCAAGCCGAAUGCAGCAAUGCCUCGUGUAUGAAGAAGGCCUUCGGGUUUUAAGGUACUUUCAGCGGGGAGGCUUUGCCCGCAGGAGAAGCACCGGCAAACUCCGUGCCAGCAGCCGCGGUAAUUC
rnacentral:rRNA from 1 species